UACGUAGGAGGCGAGCGUUGUCCGGAAUUACUGGGCGUAAAGCGCGCGUAGGUGGCGCUGUACGAGCGGUGUGAAAGCCCCCCGGCUCAACUGGGGGAGGGUCAUCGCUAACGGCAGUGCUGAUUGAGUGCAGGAGAGGGAUGUGGAACUCCGGGGAGUAGCGGGUGAAAUGCGUAGAGACCCGGAGGAACACCAGUGGCGAAGGCGGCAUCCUGGUCUGCGACUGACGCUGAUGCGCGAAAGCAAGGGGGAGCGAACGGG
rnacentral:rRNA from 1 species